rnacentral:rRNA from 1 species
UGGGGGAUAUUGCACAAUGGAGGAAACUCUGAUGCAGCGACGCCGCGUGAGGGAAGACGGUCUUCGGAUUGUAAACCUCUGUCUUUGGGGACGAUAAUGACGGUACCCAAGGAGGAAGCUCCGGCUAACUACGUGCCAGCAGCCGCGGUAAUACGUAGGGAGCGAGCGUUGUCCGGAAUUACUGGGUGUAAAGGGAGCGUAGACGGUUAUGUAAGUCUGGAGUGAAAGCCCGGGGCCCAACCCCGGGACUGCUUUGGAAACUGUGUAACUAGAGUACAGGAGGGGCAGGCGGAAUUCCUGGUGUAGCGGUGAAAUGCGUAGAUAUCAGGAGGAACACCGGCGGCGAAGGCGGCCUGCUGGACUGAAACUGACGUUGAGGCUCGAAAGCGUGGGGAGCAAACAGGAUUAGAUACC